rnacentral:misc_RNA from 1 species
GUGAAUCAUCAAAUUUUUGAACGCAAAGGGAACUAGAGGGUAUUCCGGGGAGUAUGCCUGUUUGAGGGUCGUUAGAAGAAAAAUCGAAGUAUCGCUCUUUUUUUUGAGGGUGAUCGCGUCGGAAUUGAGCCGUCUUUCAAAUGUUAAUUCAUGUCAAAGUGGCUUAAAAUUCAUCCAUUCGGUACGAUUAAAGCGUAUUUAAGAUCAAUUUUGAUUAAGAACGCGCGAUGACGUACCAUCUUAUGUAGUACGUUUGACCUGGGUCACUACGUUCAUUCGUAUACGAUACUCAAACUUUUG